AUCAAGAUACCGAACAACAAAAAUGAAAAAAAAGUACCAUGUUGGGACAACUUGUAGGUAAUUUAUGUCAUAGGGUUUUUAUCGGAGCAAUAUUAAAAAUUGAUUUGAAAAAAUACCAGCUAUUGUGAAAUUGACACUAUUCGAAAUAUCGUGUUGCACACUAUUAAUUGCUCAUUAAAAAGUAAUAUUUUUUUUAUUUUUGCGAACAAAAAAUAAUAAUUUUAUUCAUCAUUUUUGUAAAACUUACUUAAAUUUGCGCUUGCUCUGCUGGAACGCGUUUGCGCAAUGUGCAACAUAUACAUAUUUUCUGUUGUUGUUGGUGGUUCAAAAAGUAUUUUCUGUAAAUUCAUGGUGUUUGUUCUAUUGUGAAUUGUGAUUAUCGGUACUGCGAUAAAUUCAGAAUAGUGUAGUAAAUACCGUUUUGUCAAGAAAACAGUACUAAUUCUACAUAACCUCACUUCUACAAGCAAUGCAGAAAAUGCAAUUUCUCAACACAAACAAAAUGAUGAAUGUCGGGGCGCAACCAAAAAAAAAGAAGAAAUCCAGUUAGAAAUUGCGGGAGAUACGCAGAAAUUGAAUGAAUUGGAAGAGAAGAUGUAAAAAAACAUGUAGGUACCUAUGCAAUUUUGAAGAAAUUAUUAAUAAUGAACCAAAUUGCUUUCAAGUUUUCAGGGGAAGGAAAAAAUAAGCUCUCUUUUAGUGAACUCACAAUUAACAAGGCUACAAUAUGUACCACACGGAAACGUCACAAAAACGCCACAACUGCUGAAAUUUAAAAAAUGGUAGGACCUCAUUAAGCGCAGACAAAGGCAAGAGUGAAUUCUCAUCGAAAAAAACAUGAGGUAUGAUUUUUUUUAUUUUAAUUAAUUAUAUCGCUUUUCAAUGAAUCGGUUAUAGAGCAAAUAAUUAUUAAAUAAAUAUUUCUGUAUAACGAUUGAAAUGUAGCAGAACAUUGUUAUUUCCAUUGACAA